rnacentral:rRNA from 1 species
UUGUUAGUUGCCAUCAUUCAGUUGGGCGACUCUAGCGAGACUGCCGGUAAUAAACCGGAGGAAGGUGGGGAGUGACGUCAAAUCAUCAUGCCCCUUAUGACCUGGGCUACACACGUGCUACAAUGGUUGGUACAACGAGUUGCGAGUCGGUGACGGCGAGCUAAUCUCUUAAAGCCAAUCUCAGUUCGGAUUGUAGGCUGCAACUCGCCUACAUGAAGUCGGAAUCGCUAGUAAUCGCGGAUCAGCACGCCGCGGUGAAUACGUUCCCGGGCCUU